rnacentral:rRNA from 1 species
AGCUUGCUAAUGAAAUUCUUAGUGGCGGACGGGUUAGUAACACGUGAGAAUCCUACCCUUGAGUGGGGAAUAGCCUUUCGAAAGGAAGAUUAAUGCCCCAUAGUCUCUACGGAGUAAAGAUGCCUUCGGGUGUCGCUUAAGGAUGGGCUCGCGGCCUAUCAGCUAGUUGGUGAGGUAAGAGCUCACCAAGGCAACGACGGGUAGCUGGUCUGAGAGGACGAUCAGCAACACUGGAACUGAGACACGGUCCAGACACCUACGGGUGGCAGCAGUCGAGAAUCAUUCACAAUGGACGAAAGUCUGAUGGUGCAACGCCGCGUGGAGGAUGACGGCCCUAGGGUUGUAAACUCCUGUCAUCAGGGAGUAAGACUUAUUCGUUAAUAGCGUGUAAGUUUGAUAGUACCUGAAGAGGAAGGGACGGCUAACUUCGUGCC